rnacentral:rRNA from 1 species
UACGUAGGGUGCGAGCGUUAAUCGGAAUUACUGGGCGUAAAGAGUGCGUAGGCGGUUCGUUAGGUCUGCUGUGAAAGCCCCGGGCUUAACCCGGGAAUGGCAGUGGAAACUGGCGGGCUUGAGUGUGGCAGAGGGGGGUGGAAUUCCGCGUGUAGCAGUGAAAUGCGUAGAGAUGCGGAGGAACACCGAUGGCGAAGGCAGCCCCCUGGGCUAACACUGACGCUGAGGCACGAAAGCGUGGGGAGCAAACAGG